rnacentral:rRNA from 1 species
CCAGAAUGUAUCCUAAUUUUUGGCCUAAUUCUUCUUCUGAUGAUUGAUUCGACCUCUGAUAAAAAAGAUAGACCUUGGUUCUAUUUCAUCUCUUCAACAAGUUUAGUAAUAAGCAUAACGGCCCUAUUGUUCCGAUGGAUAGAAGAACCUAUAAUUAGCUUUUCGGGAAAUUUCCAAACGAACAAUUUCAAUUAA